rnacentral:rRNA from 1 species
GCAUAAUAAAUAGCUCUUUAAUUGGGAGAUGGAAUGAACGGUAACACUAACUAGCUUGUGAUUUCUUUUCUGUGAAUUUUUAUUCUUGAUGAAAAUAUCAAGGUGUUAUUUUUAGACAAAAAGACCCUAUGAAGCUUUAUAAUUAUCAUUACUAUGGCUAAAUGGUUUAAAAUUAUUUUUUUGGGGUAAAAAAUAAUUUUAUUAUUAUAAAGAUUAAAGUUUGACUAUCCACAUAUGAAUCAAUAAUAAGCUCCUCUAGGGAUAACAGCAUAAUCUUAGCUGAGAGAUCUUAUCGGAGCUAAGG